rnacentral:lncRNA from 1 species
GUCUCAUUGUUACCUGGUUCUUUUUUCCCUGCAUUGCUGUACUUUUAUCCUGACACAUUUCCACUCUGCUUCAAGGUAGGUACUGCUUUCCAAGUGCCGGGGACGGUCCUGUCCCAGUGUCAGGUAGUCUGCUAGGACUCCCACAGAUUGCUCAUGUUCUAGCUGUUGGGAUCUUGGCCAGUUGCCGCUGCCAUCUUUUCUCCUCAGCGACACUUGUUUUUAACAGACAGUUGCCUUUCCACAGUUACAGUUGGGUAGAUAGUCCACUCUUGAGCCUUGUGCAUAGCUCUUCCUUCUUUCCAGACUCAGUUUCUCUUCUGUUGCUGCUCUGCUGCUCAGGAACCCUACUCUGAGUCCCAUUUCAGAAGCUGUUUCAUAAGGCAAGAAUCUCGAAGCCAGAAAACCAAAGCCAAUCAAGCAUGCCAUCACAAUCUGUAACUUUUUUACUUGUAAUUGCAGCCGUGAUGUUCAGCCACGUAUUAUUCAGAUGUUUCUCUUGACAGUAAUUACAGCAUUUUCUCUCAUGUAGCAUAGUGCUUGAAGUAAUUUUUGCUGAAACUGGUUUCUCAGUGGGAAUGUCUGGGAAAUCAUCUGUGUUCUGUUGUCGUUCAUGUUGAAGCGUCUCCAUUAUCUGGAACAGCCCAGCUUUUCUUUCUUUGGUGGGAGAGGGAGUAGUAAGGUACUCUACUUCUUACUCUGUUAAUGGUUAUCCAAAGCAUCGUUAUCCAGAGCCGGGUGAGAACUGGACUUCAGACAGUGUACUCAGUUCACUGCUGAGGUGAUGGUCGCCCAUUGGUUCUUGUCAGCAUUUAAAAACAUACUCAGAGGAAAUCCAGUGUGCAGGCGAUGCAGGCGAUGCAGGCGAUGCAGGCGAUGCAGGCGAUGCAGGCGAUGAUGCAGGCGAUGCAGGCGAUGCAGGCGAUGCAGGCGAUGAUGCAGGCGAUGCAGGCGAUGCAGGCGAUGAUGCAGGCGAUGCAGGCGAUGCAGGCGAUGCAGGCGACGCAGGCGAUGCAGGCGAUGCAGGCCGGCUGGAGCUAGUGGGGUGACUUUGUCUACUCAGCUCUUCGUAGGACAGAAUGAGGCUCCUUCAUCUUUGCAGGCUUGGUGUUUUGUUCAGGAAACACAUUUACAAUACGAAGAACAAAUAUGUUCCUAUCCAAAGAGCUUUCGCUCAUCCCUCGUUAGUUUUAGAAGGUGGUUGAGCUGUGACCAGUUUCUUUAAGUCUAGAAGUCCGUCUUUGCAGGCAGUAGUCCACAUAAGCUGGGCCUAGCCCUGCUGAUUGAUCUCAGUUCUGGGCCAUCUGCUGGGCCUGCUGGUGAUACUGGGUUAGAAGUGUCAAAAAGCUUGACAUCUUUGACUGUUUUACUCUGGAGGGAUGGUCUGAGUGGGCCACUGCUUCCACCUUUCCUCUCCUGAUCUUUUGGGGUUUUUUUUUUUUUUUUGUGAGCUGAGCUCUGAAUGGAAAAGGAGUUCAGGUGACUUAGCUGUAAGUCACAUGCCAAUUUCAUCUAACCUUAGGCUUACAUUUCUAAACACUGGCUUUUAUCCCCCAGUUGAAGUAGUGUCUGUUUCCCUCAUCUCAGCCCUGUCUAGACUGUAAGUCACUAUUCUAUGCUGGGUUGUGUCGAUUCCUUUAGUAAGGGUGGCAAUUUGAAUUUCUUGUUAGUUCUUUAACUUAAUAUUGUGACUGCUUUCUAAAUAGCCUAGUGGAGAAUAUGCUGAAGGAGCCAGUCCCCUGCUUUGUGAGCUUGAGAGACCAGGACGUACUUCCGGUCAGUGAGGUGCUCACAUACACCCGGUAGUGUUCUGUGUGUGGAGCAACUCAGGUGCCUGUGUGUGUGGAGGGGAGGGGCCACUUCUCCUCAGGAGGCGGGGCUGUGUGAUGCUUAUUUCCACCAGCAGUAGCCAAUCUCAUGAGAGCAGAAAUCUCCUCUUGCAUUUAUUUCUCCUCUAUAUUCAUUCUUAGACUUUGGGGAGAACACCCCCUCCC